ACGAACGCUGGCGGCGUGCUUAACACAUGCAAGUCGAGCGGAAAGGCCCCUUCGGGGGUACUCGAGCGGCGAACGGGUGAGUAACACGUGGGUAACCUGCCCUCAGCUUCGGGAUAAGCCCGGGAAACUGGGUCUAAUACCGGAUGUGACACAUGGCCGCAUGGUCUGUGUGUGGAAAGAUUUAUCGGCUGGGGAUGGACUCGCGGCCUAUCAGCUUGUUGGUGGGGUAAUGGCCUACCAAGGCGAAGACGGGUAGCCGGCCUGAGAGGGCGACCGGCCACACUGGGACUGAGACACGGCCCAGACUCCUACGGGAGGGAGCAGUGGGGAAUACUGCGCAAUGGGCGGAAGCCUGACGCAGCAACGCCGCGUGAGGGAUGACGGCCUUCGGGUUGUAAACCUCUUUCAGCGCUGACGAAGCCUUCGGGUGACGGUAGGCGCAGAAGAAGCACCGGCUAACUACGUGCCAGCAGCCGCGGUAAUACGUAGGGUGCGAGCGUUGUCCGGAAUUAUUGGGCGUAAAGGGCUCGUAGGCGGCUUGUCGCGUCUGCUGUGAAAGCCCGGGGCUUAACCCCGGGUCUGCAGUGGAUACGGGCAGGCUAGAGUCCGGGCAGGGGAGACUGGAAUUCCUGGUGUAGCGGUGGAAUGCGCAGAUAUCAGGAGGAACACCGGUGGCGAAGGCGGGACUCUGGGCUGUGACUGACACUGAGGAGCGAAAGCAUGGGGAGCGAACAGGAUUAGAUACCCUGGUAGUCCAUGCCGUAAACGUUGGGCACUAGGUGUGGGGGGCAUUCCACGUUCUCCGCGCCGUAGCUAACGCAUUAAGUGCCCCGCCUGGGGAGUACGGUCGCAAGGCUAAAACUCAAAGGAAUUGACGGGGGCCCGCACAAGCGGCGGAGCAUGCGGAUUAAUUCGAUGCAACGCGAAGAACCUUACCAAGGCUUGACAUGCACCAGACAGUGCUGGAGACAGUGCUUCCUCUUUGGGGUUGGUGCACAGGUGGUGCAUGGUUGUCGUCAGCUCGUGUCGUGAGAUGUUGGGUUAAGUCCCGCAACGAGCGCAACCCUCGUUCUAUGUUGCCAGCACGUGAUGGUGGGAACUCAUAGGAGACUGCCGGGGUCAACUCGGAGGAAGGUGGGGAUGACGUCAAAUCAUCAUGCCCUUUAUGUCUUGGGCUUCACGCAUGCUACAAUGGCCGGUACAGAGAGAGGCGAGCCUGUGAGGGUGAGCGAAUCCCUUAAAGCCGGUCUCAGUUCGGAUCGUAGUCUGCAAUUCGACUACGUGAAGUCGGAGUCGCUAGUAAUCGCAGAUCAGCAACGCUGCGGUGAAUACGUUCCCGGGCCUUGCACUCACCGC
rnacentral:rRNA from 1 species